GCCGGGGUGGCGGAAUUGGUAGACGCAAGGGACUUAAAAUCCCUCGGCGGGCAACUGCCGUGUCGGUUCGAGUCCGACCCUCGGCA
rnacentral:tRNA from 1 species